ensembl:lncRNA
AUGGAGUACCAACUCAUGGACACUGCCUUGCCCCAGGACCCAACAGUCUUUGGUGUUGAGGAGUUUUGGGGAAGAAUGUCCACAACAAAGAACAAGGUGACUGGCUUGAACCAAUUUGGGAGGCUAUCAAAAAUCGCAGCCUUGGUUUUAGUCCUUCCACAUUCUAAUGCUGAUGCCGAGAGGGUAUUUUCAAUGGUUGGUUUGAACAAAACCUCAACACGAAACAGCUUGUCUCUGGACGGGACAUUGUCCUCAAUCAUGACCCUGAAAAUGGCUGGGCUUGAGCUGAACUGUUUCAAAUGGGAGCCAACACCACAAAUGAUAAAGGAGUCCAAAAAGACAACAAACACUUACAAUAAACAACAGCAGUCAUAAUCUCUCUCUCUCUCUCUCUCUCUCUCUCUCACACACACACACACACACACACACACACACACACACACACACACACAAACACACACACACACACACACACACACACACACACACAUACACACACACAAAAAUUGAAUAAAUGGAAAUUGAAUAAAUGCUUUGUAUUUGGUUAAACUGUCAGUGUCAUGUGUCAAAUAUUUUCUUCUGCAAGUCUGAGCAAUUAUUAAUAUUAACAAGAAAAACACUAAUAAUAAUAUUAUUAACGGAACACCCCUAUUCCCUUUGACCCCCUGACGGUGGGGGGUGGGGGGGAUGUCACUCUUGCCUGUCUUCAAAACUUGAGAGCCCUGCUUAACUUCUACAUGACUUCACUUAAUUAUCAGUAAGAUACUUAAUAUACUGACAUUGUCACUAGCACACAGCAUUUUCUAUAAUUUUUUAUUUUUAUUGAUUUACUUUUUUUAACUACCUCUAUUGCUGCUAUGUAAAUACCUUGAACAACCUGUUAGCACAUUCUUCUCUUGUACAUUCCUGCUCAUCUUAAUAUUUAUUAAGUCUACAGUAUACUGUCCUGCACAUUUUAUUUUAUUCCUUUUUUUCCUUACUUUUUCCAUACAAUAUUUAUAUAUACAUUUCUUGUGUUUUUAUUCUUUAAUAAUUGCACUGUCCAUGGAGUGGACCUGACUUACAUUUCACUGCUGGUCAUAUGCUCUCCAUAUAACCAUGUAUGUGACAAAUAAAAAUCUUGAAUCUUGAAUCUAUGUUGUCAUGAUGUUGAUGGGGAAGAUCGUCCAGGGUGAUGUCCAAUCAUAGGACCUGAAAGUGGUGACAAUCAAAACUACUAGGUAGGUAAACAAAGAAAAACCUCCCACAACAUUAUGGAAUGUAACACGGGGGCAAUCCCAUUUACAUGGAAUAGAAAUUGAACACUGAAGUCUUUAACAUAUUUGGAGUACAUAUAGUGUAG